UACGUAGGGAGCGAGCGUUGUCCGGAAUUACUGGGCGUAAAGGGCGAGUAGGCGGCUGUUCGUGUAGGGUGUGAAAGGUCCCGGCUUAACCGGGGAAGGUCAUUCUAAACUGGACAGCUAGAGUGCAAGAGAGGCUAACAGAAUUCCCGGUGUAGUGGUGAAAUGCGUAGAUAUCGGGAGGAAUACCAGUGGCGAAGGCGGUUAGCUGGCUUGUAACUGACGCUGAGGCGCGAAGGCUAGGGUAGCAAACAG
rnacentral:rRNA from 1 species